AAGAGUUUUCGAGUGUUGCAGGCUCAUGGGUGUGCACCACAACUCUACUGUACCUUCAAUAAUGGACUAUGCUAUGAAUUUAUACAAGGAGAAGCACUGGAUCCAAAGCAUGUCUGCAACCCAGCCAUUUUCAGGCUAAUAGCUCGUCAGCUUGCUAAAAUCCAUGCUAUUCAUGCACACAAUGGCUGGAUCCCCAAAUCUAAUCUUUGGCUAAAGAUGGGAAAGUAUUUCUCUCUCAUUCCCACAGGAUUUGCAGAUGAAGACAUUAAUAAAAGGUUCCUAAGUGAUAUCCCAAGCUCUCAGAUUCUCCAGGAAGAGAUGACUUGGAUGAAGGAGAUUCUUUCCAACCUGGGCUCACCUGUUGUGCUUUGCCAUAAUGACCUAUUGUGUAAGAAUAUAAUCUACAAUGAGAAACAAGCACAAUACAAGAAGCUGAUUUACAGCUGUUUAAGGAAAUACAAAUGAGUGGAAGAAAAGGAAAGCUUUUUCUGGGAAUUAAAGAGUAAAUCAGGUUUUGUUUUAUUUUGCUUUGUUUUAAGAGUUCUAUACAAUAUAAAUAGAAAAUGGGUGAGUCCCCAUAGUCACUUGUUUGGCUCUAAAUCUUAUCCAUUCUAUUAUUACUCCUGAGAAAGCUUUGUAGUUGUCAUGUUACUCAUGUUUUAAUGACUGAGAAGAGUUUUUUCAUUGGUACUUUUAAAAAAUUUAAAUAAAUACAAAUUGAUUUUUGUGUUUGGUAAACUAUGUUUUCUAGGGUGGUGUUUUUAAAUGUAGUUUAAUUUUUAACUCUGUUUUAAUUUGUAUUCUCAACCACUAGUUAGCAGAAAAUAAAAUAUCUGUAAGUCAGAUAAUAAAAAACUUAAAUGAACUGUAAAAACCUGAAGUUAUGAAGAAAGAGUGACCUAAUAUAGGUACUAGUUUGUUUGUUUUUUCAUUCAUUCAUUCUGGCCCACUGUGUUCAGUCUUGUACUUGAAUAAAAAUGUCAGAAACACCACACUUUUUUCUUUAGUUUUUCAUGCUUUUUUGUCUUUUCCCCUCCCCCAGCAAACGUGUUAUUGUGUGUCAGCAUUUUCUGCAAACUUCAUUUUUUCUACUAGCAUUUAAAUAUUUCCUGUGUCCUAGGGAUUGCUCUGUGGAUUGCAGGAUAAAAGAGGGAAGGGACCCUAGUGCCCCUCCAGGAGGCUGUGUAUCUUGUAGUGGAGGAGUCCAAUCACUGAACAGAUACUUACAUUUAGAAUGAUGAGUGCUCUGGUGAAGGGGUACAGAGUACUACAGGACACCAGCGUGAAGAUUAAAGGGAAAGUGUUUCAGACUAGAAUACUCCCUGUCUUUUUCUGUAUAAAAUAGAAAACAUUUUGCUAACAUUAGUAGGAUUAUAGUUACUUUUCGUAUCGUUCUCUUCGAACCUGCCUAACAUUGCAGAGCAAGUAGGGUGAGUUGGAAAGAUUUUUCAGGUUCUCAUAUUGACUAUUUUGCUUUUCAUUUUUAUUCCUUUCUCCUAACAACAAAAUAAAGGAAUUCAGACAAACAUGUCAUGUGAUAAUUAUAUAGCCUUGGGUAAUACAUUAUUAUUUUUUAGUUUUAAAGUACUUUAAAAAUUGGCAGAGUAUUUUUAGUAUACUAAGAUUUGAACAGUUUAACCAGUAGUGUCGGGAUUUGAUUACGCUGAUAAAGAUAUGCAAGAAAUAAAGUAAUAAAAGACAAAAUGUAGGUUUGGAAAAUUCAAAUUGUAGUUUUAUCCAUUAAUCAUAUACUUUACUUUGUGCUUGUCAUUGUGAUAAUUACAUAAAGAUAAAUAAAAUAACACACCUAGCCCUUAAAGUAGUAGUUCUUUACUUUUUAAAGGUCAGGGGUCCCUUGAGAAUCUGAAAAAUUGAGAAUCUCUUCCUAAGAAAGUGCACAUACACAUAAAAUUUUAGGGAAUAUUCUAGUUGUCUUUUCAUCCUUGAAACCCCAAUUAAAAAUUCAUGUCUUAAAGAACUGAGAUGAUGAUCAUGCUAUAUGAGCUAGUUAAUUAUUAAUGCUGAUGUGGAUAUUCGUUUAAAUAAAGCGAAAUUUUAGAAAUCAGAAGUUAAAUUUAUAGAAGGAAAAAGUAUAUUUUCUGUUGUUAGGAAAGCAUUUUCCAGUAAUUUGAUUUUUCUGGCACCCUAACUAAGGGAAGUUGGCUUUUUAAAUUUUACUUUGUUGCAGAAGAUUAAAUUUAAGGUUGAGUUCCACUUUGUUUGCAAUAGUUUGAAAAAGAAUAGUUAAUGCAGAUUUUUUUUUUAAAUUUUUUUCCUUUUAAGCUUUGUGUCUUGUACAAUGUGAGUUUGCCAAAUUUUCUUCAUCUGCUACAGAUUAGGUAUGCCAUUGUUGCUGCCAUGUGGCGGCGCACCCCGUGCUUCUUAAACGCACUGACUGGAGGUUUAUCGCAUCACUUGUUCACAUGCACGGAGCCUGGUAACAGCCUCAUCUGUAUCUUGUGAUGUACAGUUCAUUGAUUAUGAAUAUUCUGGAUACAACUACCUGGCAUAUGAUAUUGGAAAUCAUUUCAAUGAAUUUGCAGGUGUGAGUGAUGUAGACUAUAGUCUGUAUCCAGAUAGAGAACUACAGAGUCAGUGGCUGCGUGCUUACCUUGAAGCCUACAAAGAAUUUAAGGGCUUUGGGACUGAAGUUACUGAAAAGGAGGUAGAAAUACUCUUCAUUCAAGUCAAUCAGUUUGCAUUGGCUUCUCAUUUCUUUUGGGGAUUGUGGGCUUUGAUUCAAGCCAAAUACUCCACUAUUGAGUUUGAUUUC
rnacentral:lncRNA from 1 species